rfam:Metschnikowia bicuspidata var. bicuspidata NRRL YB-4993 METBIscaffold_3, whole genome shotgun sequence.
GCGGCUUUAGCUCAGUUGGGAGAGCGUCAGACUGAAGAUCUGAAGGUCCUGUGUUCGAUCCACAGAAAUCGCA